rnacentral:rRNA from 1 species
UACGAAGGGGGCUAGCGUUGCUCGGAAUCACUGGGCGUAAAGCGCACGUAGGCGGAUCGCUAAGUCAGGGGUGAAAUCCUGGAGCUCAACUCCAGAACUGCCUUUGAUACUGGCAAUCUCGAGUCCGGGAGAGGCGAGUGGAACUGCGAGUGUAGAGGUGAAAUUCGUAGAUAUUCGCAAGAACACCAGUGGCGAAGGCGGCUCACUGGCCCGGUACUGACGCUGAGGUGCGAAAGCGUGGGGAGCAAACAGG